CCAUCACAUGUGAGUAUUGAACUUAUGAACUACUGGCUGCCUUCCUUGGGUCGUCUUGUUCACGUAUACCAGAAACUCUCUAACUGUGAUUUCUUUUAACGGGGGCGCAGCAGGCGGACCCGCUGAGCCCGCCGAUGAGCUAGACGAAAAGAGCCGUCAAGGGGCACGCAGGAGGGGAGCGGCGGCCGCCAGCCGCGGCGACCCGAGCGGAUACGCCAACUGCCGCCGCCGCCCCAAGGUUAGAGCACCGUUAAAACCGUCACCAAACCGCUCCACGUCGCCGCCGAAUCUACAACACUUCCGCCUUUUCUACGUCGCCGCCGGGAGGCGCGCCCCGAGCUAGGUUGCAUACGUACCUACAACCCACCGGUCUAGCCGUACUUCUACGUCCGGCGACGGUGAGUACCUACGGUACCAGUGGCUACCUCCCUCGGAGCGCCGCAGCAGUUAAGGAGCCGUCUUCGUGCCUUGUUGAGGAGAGACGGUACAGUUCUCACCUCUAGGUUGGACUCUCGCACAUCGUACGAGUACGGUACCGGCAACGAGGACCUCACCGAAAACCACAACCCUGUGCCGUCCAACUCCGCCACCGGUUGACGUCAAUACCACCGGCAGCGGGAGUAGAGGACGCCUCUCCGCGUCAGUACCACCAGAAAACGAGCCCGAGCCCGCGUUCAAGUCCACAACGAAAACUUCUUGGGAAGAGCAUCAGAAAACAUAACAGUUCUCUACUACCUGCAAGUGCCGUAUCGAAACCAGAACGUACUGAAACGAAAACGGCCGCACUAGUAGAAGACACAAAACAACCGGCACACGUAGAAUCAAUACGUCUCUGGCCGGGCUGGGCAAGCAGGUAAGGGGAGACAGAGCGGAAGAAGAGACGGACGGAGGCGGCGGCGGAGGCGGCAGGUAAACAGCGGCGGCCGGCGGCGUCGCUACCACAGGACCUUCCUGCCGCUUUGAUCAUCGCUUCUAAGACACAGGGGGGUGAAGUUGAGCGUGCUCCUCCUCUGGAUAUAGGGUGUCUGGUAAGAACUGGGCCUCACCACGCCAUAACAACGGCCUCCUGGCUACACGACAGUGUUGGAAGGACAAGUAUCCCGACAACACAAAGUUCCUUAGUUGUGACCGGCAUCCAAAAUACCUACGCGAUUAGUCCUUCCACUGUUAACACCAGACCAAGUUACCUAACUGGGUCUUACCGGUCUUGGGUACUUUUUACGUGAUGCGUUUGAAACCCUGUAUCCUCUUCUUCGAUUAGGUUCUCUUCGUGGUGUUGGUGUAGUUUCUUUGUUCGUUAAAAAAAGUUGUUAAGUGUUCUUACACUACUCCCUCUUGAUAGUCUUCUAAUACGUCCUACCACUACAUCUCUUACGACAUGAAGUUCGGGUCCUUCUCUUCCGAUUCGAACUCUUUCUGUUAUAACUCGACUCCUGUAGUGAUGUUCAGUAAUUCGUCUCGUGACUACUUGAACAAUCGUUAACCUUCUUUGUACAUCGUCUACUUCCAGAAGUUGUCUAACUUGUCUACUUCUUCCUCUUCUUUUUCAAUCUCAUAUAGUAUCGACUAAACGACUUCCUACCCCUCCGUUUGUUCCAAAGAGUAUAACUAUCUCCUCGUUUUCAAACAUUAUGAUAACAAUCCGAUCUCUCGGAUAGCUGUUGGCAGCUGUUCUACUUGGUUGUUGAAAUACCCGAUUGGUAUCCGAUC
rnacentral:rRNA from 1 species